rfam:Thermoplasmatales archaeon E-plasma genomic scaffold AMDT2_EPLS00002, whole genome shotgun sequence.
GCCGUCGUAGCUCAGCCUGGUAGAGCGUGUGCUUGGUAAGCACAAGGUCGCGGGAUCGAACCCCGUCGGCGGCU